UUGUUCAACGGCCGCGGUAUCCUAACCGUGCGAAGGUAGCGUAAUCACUUGUCCUUUAAAUGAAGACUAGUAUGAAUGGCCCCACGAAAGCUAUACUGUCUCCUUUUUCUAAUCAGUUAAACUAAUCUCCCCGUGAAGAAGCGGGGAUAAACAUAUAAGACGAGAAGACCCUAUGGAGCUUUAAACAACUGAAACACUUGUAUAUCUCCCUUCACCUACCCACAUUUAACUCCACAUCUUGUUUCUAGUUUUAGGUUGGGGUGACCACGGAGAAAAAACUAACCUCCACGAUGAAAGAGACAUCUCUAAACAAAAAGCUACAUCUUUAUGUAUUAAUACAUUAACCUUUAUUGACCCAAUAAAUUGAUCAACGAACCAAGUUACCCUAGGGAAAACAGCGCAAUCCAUUUCAAGAGCUCUUAUCGACAAAUGGGUUUACGACCUCGAUGUUGGAUCAGGGUAUCCUGGUGGUGCAGCCGCUACUAACGGUUCGUUUG
rnacentral:rRNA from 1 species